CUGAAGCUGUGGUCCCGCGCUAAUCUGCGCCGUCCCCUUCUUCGCCGCACCUGCGGAAGGUCACCUGGAGGAGUGCAAUCGCCUGACCCAGUGAAAAUGCUCGGUCCCCUAGCGUCCCUCACACUGACUAGACGCGUGCCCCGCCUCCUUCUCCUUCCACUGCAGGAGCCUGGGAAAGGAUCGCCGUAGUACCGAAAUUCACCCGAGGUGACUGAAGGUACUGUGCGAAGGUGCUGGGACCACAUUUCAUAACUGGCCCUGCCUUACUAGCCAACUCCUUAAGGAUACGUGGUAUUUAGAGAAAAUUCCUGUACGACUGGGAAAAAGCCCGAUGUGGGAUUUUUCACGCGAAAGGAGGGUCCGAGCACAGCCUCUCCCCGAAGGCGACCAGCCUAGGGUAAGGAAGGGAACGCUUUACCCACCUAUGUCUGUUCCCAGCACAGCAGACGUCUUGGGGUGCCUCUCUAUUCCACCCCUCUUCACCCGCCACAAGAUGGUUCACUUUGGGGUCUUCAGGCUGUCCAUGAAAUAGGCCGAGUUCGGGCCCCUCUAAAACUGAGAGCAGCUUCCUCAUGCUGAGAGAGUAAAGGCUGAGGAGCUGACACCCCCCCCCACCCCACCCCGUCUAAGACACCAAGGAAGCCCACAAUGCCAAAUUGUUCCCUGCCCUGCCCUCUAACGUAGGCUAACUAAAUCUGCAUAUGGGUAUUUCCUAAUUUUUGUCUCACUUUGCCUGCCUCUUCUCUUUUUUCAAAAGCUGCCUUGUCCUCAGAGCCUCCCAAGAUGGAAUUGUGAAAUAAAAAUUUUCUUCUAACUUCCUUCAAAGCUGGCUUUAAAUAAAAAACCUGUUUUCCUACCAAUCUGAAUAUUUUGGGAGCAACCAGCAGUGGAGUAGCCUCUUCUCCAGGGCUGUAUUACUGUCACCCUCUAACACCCACUCUUUCCCUUGCACUUUUGAUGAGUGAAAGAAGAAAAAAGAACACGGAAUAACACCUGGCACAUGCUUUAAAAUUUUUAUCACAAGGUACACGUAUUACUACUACACAGGCCUGACAUAUGACACUUUGUUUACCAACUAUUUCACAGUUCACAUUCCUCAGGAAGUAAAAAUCAGAAAUCAUUUUGAGUCUAUAAAUCAAUAAAAUGUCAUUCCCAACAAAAAAGCAAUUUAACUCUAGGUGAGCAUCUUACUGGUAUAAGCCCAAAGCCGAAACAAGGAAACACUGUGUGAUGCAUUGUAUUGGGGAAUUCAUUAUUUCUAAAGCCGAACAAAACUUAAUUUUUAAUUAGAAGCAUUAAAACUGCAACUCUUAAACUACAAUGCAAAUAACAGAUUCCACAACACUGAAUUUCUUUGAUGUUAUGAGUCCUUUGUCAGUAAUUCAAUAUUUAUUAAUACCUGCUUUACUUAUUGUUGCCGGUUAGUUAAAAUAAUUAAGUAAUGAUUCCAUUUAAAUGAGAUAGUUUCAAUGUUAACUUAAAAACAGCCAUAAAAAUAUCUGAGACAUAAGAAAAUAAGAUUUCCCCUCAAAGUCAAAAAGGCUUUGUGGACUUUUAAUGGAACCUAUCUUUUUCCCCCCUUUUUUCUUAGUGCUGGGGAUAGAACCCAGGUCCUUUUGAAUUCUAAGCAAGCGCUCUGCAACUGAGCUCUGUCCCUAGCCCUGAAGCCUAUCUGCUGAAAAUCACAAGUCUUAGCAAUAACUUCAUAUAUCUCAUUUUCUAGUGUUUCCAUCUUUCAAUGAAUAAUAUCUCACUAUUGAGGUCUCUGAAGUCAUUGAUUGCUUGGAAAUUUCCCAAGCUUCUCUUCUUAUCAUCUUCAGAACACAUUAAUGAAUUAACUUUAUACAUAUAUGCUAAUCAUUCACUGUGACCCAUUUCAACUGAUCCCAUGAGUGGAUCCAUCAGUGGGUCCAAAGUUCUUAGAAGUUCUAACAUGUUAGUUAGGAAAAAUACAUUUGCAAAGGUCAAAAUAGAUUACAUAGAAGCAAGUACAAGGAAAGCACUUUAAAAGUCUUCCUCAGCAUUUAGUGUACGUGAUUUCUUGAGAUUCUUCAAUUUAUUAAUGGCAGAAGUUACUGAAAUCUCUCCAUGAAUUUUGUUGUCUCUUGUUCGAACAUUUACAGCAUUAUUUAUCUUUUCUUUUUCUCCAACCACUGUAGAAAGGAAAGGAAAUAAAUCAACCAUUAAGUCAAAUGUGGUAUUAUGAGUCUAACUGAAUUUUUCUUCAGUAUUAGUCACUAAUUAUCUAUCUAAUGGUCAUUAAGUUCAUGCUUUAGCUGAGUGUCUUGAGGUAAGGAAUGACUUCUAAUCACAUCUUUUUACUGCUCACUUGAGAAUACAGUAUUGUGGCCAUGGGGCAUGAAUUAGAGCAGGAAAUAUUACAGAUCCCCUGACUCUACCUGGUGGUACUUGAUAAGUCAAAAGAUGCACACAGACCCAUGCUGGCCAACCAGAAUUUUCUGGGAUGUGGGCAAAAAGCUUGUUCUCGGUAGUAAUCCAUAUUGUGAGAUGAUAGCAGGAAUCUGCAUCCAUGUUUCUUGCCACACAAAAGGAACAAACUGGUCCACUGAUAAUUUCAACAAACUAGAUACUCAAGUGAAGCAUAAAUGACUGGUGCAAAAACAGGAACCAGAAAUGGGGAGAGAUAAUCCUUGUAAGGGCUGAGGCUCCUGUUUACUUUUCUAAUGGUUUGGCUGUUUAGGUCUACUUUUCAUGACUUGGGUACCCUUCUGAUAAAUCUUUGUCUAACCUAAUUUGAGAUUCUGUCACCACAAUGAGCCUGAUUAAACAACACAAUACCUACCACAGAGUCAAACAUUAUCAAUGAACAACUGUCAAUAGGACAACUUUUUAUGCAUAUUGAUUGUGUUUUCUACUACUCUUUCAGCUUAUGAGAGAGAGCAAUACCAUGCCUGCAGGCAUGUCAAUAUCAGUUUCUCUUGAUUAUACAGGUUUACAAUCAAAAUUUUAGAUUCUGUAUCCAAUUACUCAUGUUCCUUAAGGUAUUUUUUUUCACCUUAAUUCUUUUCUUUUGAAAAUUUGGAAUCUUUCUCAUUCAUUUGUUUAAUUCCCAUGAUUUCUAAUAAACCAGCAAAGCAAGGAAAAUAUUUCAGUUCUGUCACAUGGCUGAAACAUAAGGAGAAUAAUUCUACUGAAGAGGUUAUUUUCAAAUUUCUUUCAUUUUCAUUUGAGAUGUUCACUAUUGUUAAUAAUACUAUACAACAGGAUUCAUGUGGAACUUUAUAAGUCUUCAUCUAGCAAAUAACAGAGGACCUAGCAACAGCUAAUCCAGGACUCUUCUUUGUACAUAGAUAUUAAACAGUCAAACUGUCAUAAUCAAGUAGUUAUGCCAUAGUCCUUAUUUUGCCUUUUUUAAAAAAUUAAAGCAAAAUAAUAUAAACAAACUGAAAAAAUAUAAACAAAUUUAAGUUACCCAAAAUAAAAUUAUAUUGAGCCAACUGUGCAUUUCUUAUUUUCUUAUUCAGUGUACAACUGUCAUCUAAAUCAACAUCGGCCAUAAAUCCUUCUUCAAAAAAUUCAUUGGAUACCUGGAAGAACAAGGAAUACUUUCAUUAUUACAUUAUUUUUGGUAGACAGACUGACUCUAGGACAGCCCUCAUUAUUCCCAUCUGAUAUUCAUACCCCUGUGUAGCCCUCUACCCUGUAUCAGAGUCGGUCUGUUACCCACAGAGGAGGGCAGAAGUGGUGGUAGUACACUUCUGAGGCUGGGUUAUAAAGGACUGCAUCUCUCACUCCCCAGAUCACUCAAGCUGCCAUGUUGUGAGGACAUUCAGGCAGCCUAGGAAGAAGUCAAUAAGGAAACAGAUGAGGAGGAAAGAGGCAGAGCAAAUGAUCAGAACAACCUCAUAACAGGUUCCCAGAAU